CACCGCGGUUAUACGAAAGACCCAAGUUGAUAUCUUCGGCGUAAAGGGUGGUUAGAGAAGACAAAAAUAAAGCCAAAGGCCCCCCAAGCUGUCAUACGCACCCACGGGAGCACGAAGCCCAAACACGAAAGUAGCUUUAAGCCCACCUGACCCCACGAAAGCUAAGAAA
rnacentral:rRNA from 1 species